AUUGAACGCUGGCGGCAGGCUUAACACAUGCAAGUCGAGCGGGGAAAUGUAGCUUGCUACAUUACCUAGCGGCGGACGGGUGAGUAAUGCUUAGGAAUCUGCCUAUUAGUGGGGGACAACAUUCCGAAAGGAAUGCUAAUACCGCAUACGUCCUACGGGAGAAAGCAGGGGACCUUCGGGCCUUGCGCUAAUAGAUGAGCCUAAGUCGGAUUAGCUAGUUGGUGGGGUAAAGGCCUACCAAGGCGACGAUCUGUAGCGGGUCUGAGAGGAUGAUCCGCCACACUGGGACUGAGACACGGCCCAGACUCCUACGGGAGGCAGCAGUGGGGAAUAUUGGACAAUGGGGGGAACCCUGAUCCAGCCAUGCCGCGUGUGUGAAGAAGGCCUUUUGGUUGUAAAGCACUUUAAGCGAGGAGGAGGCUACUAGUAUUAAUACUACUGGAUAGUGGACGUUACUCGCAGAAUAAGCACCGGCUAACUCUGUGCCAGCCGCCGCAGUAACAC
rnacentral:rRNA from 1 species